CCCUUAGAUGUUCUGGGCCGCACGCGUGCUACACUGACAUGUCCAGCGAGCUCCCAACCUGCUCGGCAAAGAAUGGGUACCCUUUUUAACGCAUGUCGUGAUGGGGAUAGAUUAUUGCAAUUGUUGAUCUUGAACGAGGAAUUCCUAGUAAGUGCAAGUCAUUAGCUUGUGCUGAAUACGUCCCUGCCCUUUGUACACACCGCCCGUCGCUCCUACCGAUUGAGUGCUCCGGUGAACAAUUCGGACUGCAGCAGUGUUCAGUUCCUGAACGUUGCAGCGGAAAGUUUAGUGAACCUUAUCACUUAGAGGAGGAGAAGUCGUAACA
rnacentral:rRNA from 1 species